GAUCUCGAUUGUAAAAGGCUGGAUCGCGGAUAGGGAGCGCGAGCGUGAAGAAACCGGCCGCCAUCUUACGGUGCCCACAACAGUCGCCGCAGCGAUCAUGGCAACUUCUUGCAAUUACGGUCGUACCAACCGUACUGGCAAGGUUACAGGGCCUAAAUUUAUACAAGUUUCGUCAUGAGGGCUACCCAGUGAAUAAUCUGCGUAGUGUGAUACGGCUGGGUGUACAGGUUACUUCACAGCUGCCUCGACAUACUCAAGAAAUGGGUGCAGAACCUGCGUAAUGCCCACAAACUUUGAUUACCACAGCACCUCCAGAAAGUAUGUGUCACAUGGGAUUUUUAAAUGUAUUCACAGUAUAUAAUACCUUGUAUUAACUGUUGUAGAUCUAAGCCGUCUCUACAGUACACUCUCAGAAAUUAAAACCGUGAGAACCGUGAUAAUUGUUUCAGUUAAUAGGCAUGCACAUAUAUGCUAUAAGAAGAAAAUUAUUUCUUGAGAAUGCACUUCUCUGGCUACUGGUGUUGUUUACAUCUACUGUUGAUCACAUUCAUUUAUCACAUAUUAUAUUCUUAUAUAUAUUAUUAUAUUAACACAUAUUUGAUCACAUUAAAUUCAAAAUUCAUCAUAUAUAAGAAAAUACCAGGAGGGAAGUUGCUAUUCAUUGCUCAUUCUAACCUAAAAUUGGGUGCUACAAAUUUAGAGAGAGUACCUGUCCAUUGUCAUUCCUAAAAUAUAUAUUGUCAUUGUAGCAAGGUCAUAAAACAAUAAAUGUAGUCUUUUGUGACCUCCCUGCACGUUCAUUGUAU